AUUGAACGCUGGCGGCAGGCCUAACACAUGCAAGUCGAGCGGAUGAAGAGAGCUUGCUCUCUGAUUCAGCGGCGGACGGGCGAGUAAUGCUUAGGAAUCUGCCUGGUAGUGGGGGACAACGUUUCGAAAGGAACGCUAAUACCGCAUACGUCCUACGGGAGAAAGUGGGGGAUCUUCGGACCUCACGCUAUCAGAUGAGCCUAGGUACGAUUAGCUAGUUGGUGAGGUAAAGGCUCACCAAGGCGACGAUCGUUAACUGGUCUGAGAGGAUGAUCAGUCACACUGGAACUGAGACACGGUCCAGACUCCUACGGGAGGCAGCAGUGGGGAAUAUUGGACAAUGGGCGAAAGCCUGAUCCAGCCAUGCCGCGUGUGUGAAGAAGGUCUUCGGAUUGUAAAGCACUUUAAGUUGGGAGGAAGGGCAGUAAGUUAAUACCUUGCUGUUUUGACGUUACCGACAGAAUAAGCACCGGCUAACUUCGUGCCAGCCGCCGCGGUAACAC
rnacentral:rRNA from 1 species